AGCGAACGCUGGCGGCGUGCUUAACACAUGCAAGUCGAGUGCGCGCCUGUAGCAAUACAGGUGGCGCACGGCGCACGGGUGCGUAACACGUGGGCAAUCUGCCCUUCGAUGGGGAAUAACCUCGCGAAAGCGAGGCUAAUUCCGCAUAACAUUCCGGGGAUCUCGGUCCUUGGAUUCAAAGCCGCAAGGCGUCGGAGAGAGCCCGCGCACGAUUAGCAGUUGGUGAGGUAACGGC
rnacentral:rRNA from 1 species